GGUUUCGAAAGAGAGGAUGACAGCUGAGGGCCUAUAAAUCACACCAAUCUUGCAAGGAGCUCAAAGCAAUGGACAUGUUCUUCACCUUCCUGUGUAUCCUCCCAAUAGUUAUGUAAGGUAGGAAGAACCUGGGAUGGAAAUUAUAUAUGGAGCUGAGAUGGGAGAGACCACGCAGCCAUGAUUUAGCACUGUAUCUCCCUGCUACUUCAUGCAAGGCAGCCAGUGAGAGUCAUCAAUGGGCCACACUACUGAAGUCCAAAGACUCAUACACACACAUUCUUUGGCUUAACAGAGAAAGACUUGAGAGUCAAGCAGAGAUGUUCUCCCACUUGAACCUGACUGUUUGCAAGAAUUAUGUUGUUAUUCCUUGAUCUUCAUACUAACA